GACGAACGCUGGCGGCGUGCUUAACACAUGCAAGUCGAACGGAAAGGCCUGCUUUCCCUUGUGGAUUGCGGGUACUCGAGUGGCGAACGGGUGAGUAACACGUGAGUGAUCUGCCCCCAACUUGGGUAUAAGCCUGGGAAACUGGGUCUAAUUCCCGAUAGGACUGCAGGGUGGUGCCUGUGGUGGAAAACGAUUUUCUAGUGGUUGGGGAUGAGCUCGCGGCCUAUCAGCUUGUUGGUGGGGUAAUGGCCUACCAAGGCGGCGACGGGUAGCCGGCCUGAGAGGGUGGACGGCCACAUUGGGACUGGGAUACGGCCCAGACUCCUACGGGAGGCAGCAGUGGGGACUAUUGCACAAUGGGCGGAAGCCUGAUGCAGCGACGCCGCGUGGGGGAUGACGGCCUUCGGGUUGUAAACUCCUUUCGACCGCGAGGAAGCCACCUGGUUGGAAGGGUGGUGACGGUAGUGGUAGAAGAAGCACCGGCUAACUACGUG
rnacentral:rRNA from 1 species